GCACUGCCUGCUUAGCUUCCUUUCAGCUCUGCCAAGGACGCUGUCUCAGCAACCAGUGCUGGACGGAGUUUCUGGGCUUCCUGGCAGUCUCCAUAGGACCUCGAGGUCAGGGUGGCCUGAUUCCUGUUUGUCCAAACACAAGAUAGCAUGGAUGAAUGAGAAUGUGGUAAUCAAGCUUUGGGAAUGUGGUCAUCAAGCUCCCCAGUGCUUUAUGGUCUAGAGCAUGUGGCAAGGUUGCAUUUCUCCUCGUCAACCCUGAUAUUCUCGCUCAUGGCUACCAUUCCUUCUCUGAUGCAGCAGGAACAGUUUCUGUCUAAAAGUGAUCUUUCAAGGAUUACUGCCUGGCUGCAACUUCAUUAUAAACACAAAUAUAAACAGAAGAACUGACAUCUGAAAACAAUAUUUAGUUAUAACUGAGAGGUGAACACACCCCAGCAAGAACAACCAUCCCUGGCGCUUGGAUCUUGAUUUGUAAUACCAUCAUCCAAUGACCAGCACUUGGGCUCCUUGGAGAAAUGGCUGAUUCUGGGAGUGGAGCAGGAAAUACACCAGAAGAAGCUGGAGCAUGUUGUAAGCCAGAAAUUAAGGGAGUGCACCCUCCUACUACCACCAAAAUGAGGGAGCAUGUCCAAAGGACAAGAGCCAACUGAAGGAGCUCCCAGUGGCCAAAGUUGGGAAAGUUGG